GCCGGAAUAGCUCAGUUGAGGGAGCGUUAGACUGAGAAUCUAAAUGUCCUCGUUCGAUCCUGGGUUCCGGCG
rnacentral:tRNA from 1 species